rnacentral:lncRNA from 1 species
CCAAGGCAGCCGAUUAAACUACCGUCUUCAAAAUUACCUAACGGGUUUGAAUUGUUUCAUCUGUUUUUUUUUAGGUGGUGAAUCCCAAAAAGAAAGGAAAAAAGAAAAAGUGUACGAAUUCUGGAACAAAUUUUUAAAGAGGGAUGUGGUAACCUUGAGCAGAAAGACCCAAGGCGGCCUGGGCCAUAAGCUGCAGGAACGACGUCAGGGAAAAAGCGAGGCACCGACACCAGCUGUGCAGCAGUGUCGGCGGCGGCCAGAGAGAAAUGGAGCACCGUGGGCAGAAGAAAGGCGCGGGCCUGGUUAGGAAGAGCGCCCCAGCGAGAAAGAUGAGAAGAGGCAGAGAAGGAAAAGACCAGAGAGAAAAAAGGGAAACGCGAUGACCAUGAGGGGAGGCCGAGUAUGGUCAUCAUCUGCCUCCCACUAGAAUUGGUAUGAAAAUGGAGGAGAAGCAGAGGUGGGACUUAUCCCCAGCACUCUGCAGUUGUAUGUGACAUCCCAAAUGGUGUGUUAAUCUGUUGCAUGUCAAAUCAGCUACUCUUCGAAUGGUUUGUAGAACGUGCAUACUUUGAUGUUACCAUGUCUCUGAUAUUCCAGAUGUGACUUACUACCCACACAGGACCUCCUUUCCCCUGUCCAGCAAAGAAUAUCAUGAAUGAGUACCUUGAAAAGAAAGGUUAGCAAAGACAAAACAAGUCUUGAAACGUGAUGAUUAAUAAGGAAACUAAUUUCAGAGGAUUAAAACAAAAAGAUUUUUCUAUGCAGGGUCAAAUAUUUGGUAAAAUUUUUAUUUAGUAGAUAGAAAUAGUGUGAAAGCAGAUGAUUCCAUUAAAUAAUAGUAAAAAAAAUAGUGUUCAGCAAUGUGAUGAUUUCUAGGAUGGGAAAAUUUGCUUUCAAACCCCAAGCAUGAAGCAAUCAAUUUCAUGAGACUUUGAUAUAAAAACUGAGUAAGAAUUUUAAAGAAAAUAGUGUGCUCUAGUUUAAAGACCACAUUGAAGGAAAUAUUUCUUACUAUCAUUUUUCCACUGUGCUAAGGGCAUUUCCAUUAAUUUGAGAUGAAGUAUCAUGACCAGGAGAGAAGUAAUAAAAAGAUGGCUUGUGUCUGUCA